rnacentral:rRNA from 1 species
UACGAAGGGUGCAAGCGUUGUUCGGAAUCAUUGGGCGUAAGCGCGCGCAGGCGGAUCAGCAGGUCAGAUGUGAAAUCUCGAAGCUCAACUUCGAAACUGCGUCUGAAACUGCUAGUCUAGAAUGUCGGAGGGGCAGGGGAAUUUCACGUGUAGGGUAAAAUCCGUAGAGAUGUGAAGGAACACCGGGGGCGAAGGCGCCGUGCCUGG